CAGCCGCCGCGGUAAUACGUAGGGUGCAAGAGUUAAUCGGAAUUACUGGGCGUAAAGCGUGCGCAGGCGGUUAUAUAAGACAGAUGUGAAAUCCCCGGGCUCAACCUGGGAACUGCAUUUGUGACUGUAUAGCUAGAGUACGGCAGAGGGGGAUGGAAUUCCGCGUGUAGCAGUGAAAUGCGUAGAUAUGCGGAGGAACACCGAUGGCGAAGGCAAUCCCCUGGGCCUGUACUGACGCUCAUGCACGAAAGCGUGGGGAGCAAACAGGAUUAGAUACCCGCGUAGUCCCUGUCUCUUAUAC
rnacentral:rRNA from 1 species